CGUAGGGUGCGAGCGUUGUCCGGAAUUAUUGGGCGUAAAGAGCUCGUAGGCGGUUUGUUGCGUCGGCCGUGAAAACCUGCGGCUUAACCGUGGGCCUGCGGUCGAUACGGGCAGACUUGAGUUCGGUAGGGGAGACUGGAAUUCCUGGUGUAGCGGUGAAAUGCGCAGAUAUCAGGAGGAACACCGGUGGCGAAGGCGGGUCUCUGGGCCGAUACUGACGCUGAGGAGCGAAAGCGUGGGGAGCGAACAGGAUUAGAUACCCUGGUAGUCCACGCUGUAAACGUUGGGCGCUAGGUGUGGGGAGCAUUCCACGUUCUCCGUGCCGUAGCUAACGCAUUAAGCGCCCCGCCUGGGGAGUACGGCCGCAAGGCUA
rnacentral:rRNA from 1 species